GCUUUCGUGGCUCAGUUGGCUAGAGCGUAGGUCUCAUAUCUCCAGCAUAUGACAUGGUUGUUAACAAUCACGUGAUCCUAAGGUCGCAAGUUCGAGCCUUGCCGAGAGCA
rfam:Pseudogymnoascus pannorum VKM F-4515 (FW-2607) contig_1548, whole genome shotgun sequence.